rnacentral:rRNA from 1 species
UACGUAGGGGGGCUAGCGUUGUCCGGAAUCAUUGGGCGUAAAGAGCGCGUAGGCGGUCCGGUAAGUCAGCUGUGAAAGUCAAAGGCUCAACCUUUGAACGCCGAUGGAUACUGCCGGGCUAGAGUCCGGAAGAGGCGAGUGGAACUCCUGGUGUAGCGGUGGAAUGCGCAGAUAUCAGGAAGAACACCGACGGCGAAGGCAGCUCGCUGGGACGGUACUGACGCUGAGGCGCGAAAGCGUGGGGAGCGAACAGG